rnacentral:misc_RNA from 1 species
UCCGCCUUGGAGGCGGCAGUCUCCUAUGAAAGAACAACAUAGGAUGAGGGUUGCGCUCGUUUGCUGACUUAACAGUACACCUCAAGGCACGAGCUGACGACGACCGUGCAUCACCUGUCAUUAGGUUCCUUGCGGCACUCUCUUAUUUCUAAAAGAUUCCUAAGAUGUCAAACCUGGGUGAGGUGCUCCGCUUAUCAUCGAAUUAAACCCCACGCUCCACCGCUUGUGUGGGUCCCCGUCUAUUCCUUUGAGUUUUAGCCUUGCGGCCGUAAUUCCCAGGCGGUGUGCUUACCGCGUUAGCUUAGGGCACUGAGAGCAAUUGAAAACUCCCAACACCGAGCACACAUCGUUUAGGGCGUGGACUAC